UCCCUGGUGGUCCAGUGGUUAGGACUCUGUGCUUCCACUGCAGGGGACCAGGCUUCAACCCCUGGCCUGGGAA
rnacentral:tRNA from 1 species